UACGUAGGGCGCGAGCGUUGUCCGGAAUUAUUGGGCGUAAAGAGCUCGUAGGCGGCCUGUUGCGUCCGCUGUGAAAGCCCGGGGCUUAACCCCGGGUCUGCAGUGGAUACGGGCAGGCUAGAGGUAGGUAGGGGAGAAUGGAAUUCCCGGUGUAGCGGUGAAAUGCGCAGAUAUCGGGAGGAACACCGGUGGCGAAGGCGGUUCUCUGGACAGUUCCUGACGCUGAGGCACGAAGGUCAGGGGAGCAAACGGG
rnacentral:rRNA from 1 species